rnacentral:tRNA from 1 species
GGGCGACUAGCUCAGUUGGUUAGAGCGCGUCACUGAUAAUGACGAGGUGGGAGGUUCGAUUCCUCCGUCGCCCACCA